rnacentral:rRNA from 1 species
GAUGAACGCUGGCGGCGUGCUUAACACAUGCAAGUCGAACGAUGAUCCCCAGCUUGCUGGGGGGAUUAGUGGCGAACGGGUGAGUAACACGUGAGUAACCUGCCCUUGACUCUGGGAUAAGCCUGGGAAACUGGGUCUAAUACCGGAUAUGACUCCUCAUCGCAUGGUGGGGGGUGGAAAGCUUUUGUGGUUUUGGAUGGACUCGCGGCCUAUCAGCUUGUUGGUGAGGUAAUGGCUCACCAAGGCGACGACGGGUAGCCGGCCUGAGAGGGUGACCGGCCACACUGGGACUGAGACACGGCCCAGACUCCUACGGGAGGCAGCAGUGGGGAAUAUUGCACAAUGGGCGAAAGCCUGAUGCAGCGACGCCGCGUGAGGGAUGACGGCCUUCGGGUUGUAAACCUCUUUCAGUAGGGAAGAAGCGAAAGUGACGGUACCUGCAGAAGAAGCGCCGGCUAACUACGUGCCAGCAGCCGCGGUAAUACGUAGGGCGCAAGCGUUAUCCGGAAUUAUUGGGCGUAAAGAGCUCGUAGGCGGUUUGUCGCGUCUGCCGUGAAAGUCCGGGGCUCAACUCCGGAUCUGCGGUGGGUACGGGCAGACUAGAGUGAUGUAGGGGAGACUGGAAUUCCUGGUGUAGCGGUGAAAUGCGCAGAUAUCAGGAGGAACACCGAUGGCGAAGGCAGGUCUCUGGGCAUUAACUGACGCUGAGGAGCGAAAGCAUGGGGAGCGAACAGGAUUAGAUACCCUGGUAGUCCAUGCCGUAAACGUUGGGCACUAGGUGUGGGGGACAUUCCACGUUUUCCGCGCCGUAGCUAACGCAUUAAGUGCCCCGCCUGGGGAGUACGGCCGCAAGGCUAAAACUCAAAGGAAUUGACGGGGGCCCGCACAAGCGGCGGAGCAUGCGGAUUAAUUCGAUGCAACGCGAAGAACCUUACCAAGGCUUGACAUGGACUGGAAAUACCUGGAAACAGGUGCCCCGCUUGCGGUCGGUUCACAGGUGGUGCAUGGUUGUCGUCAGCUCGUGUCGUGAGAUGUUGGGUUAAGUCCCGCAACGAGCGCAACCCUCGUUCUAUGUUGCCAGCGCGUUAUGGCGGGGACUCAUAGGAGACUGCCGGGGUCAACUCGGAGGAAGGUGGGGACGACGUCAAAUCAUCAUGCCCCUUAUGUCUUGGGCUUCACGCAUGCUACAAUGGCCGGUACAAAGGGUUGCGAUACUGUGAGGUGGAGCUAAUCCCAAAAAGCCGGCCUCAGUUCGGAUUGGGGUCUGCAACUCGACCCCAUGAAGUCGGAGUCGCUAGUAAUCGCAGAUCAGCAACGCUGCGGUGAAUACGUUCCCGGGCCU